rnacentral:rRNA from 1 species
CAAUUUGUCACUCAGUAUCGAAGCUACCGCUUUAAGUUUACCGCCUGGGGAGUACGGUCGCAAGAUUGAAACUCAAAGGAAUUGACGGGGGCGCGCACAAGCGCUGGAGUAUGUGGUUUUAAUUUGAUGCAACGCGAAGAACCUUACCUGGUCUUGACAUGUCGAGAUCUGUCCAGAGAAGGAUAUGUGCCUUUGGGAACUCGAACACAGGUGCUGCAUGGCUGUAGUCAUCUCGUGUCGUGAGAUGUUGGGUUAAGUCGUGCAACGAGGGCAACCAUUGUCCUUAGUUGCCAGCACGUAAUGGUGGGACCUUUAAGGAGACCUCCGGUGACAAACCGGAGGAAAGUUGGGAUGACGUCAAGUUUUCUUGGGCCUUUUGACCAGGGGUACACACGUACUACAAAGGUAGGGACAGAGGGGUGCAAAACCGCGAGGGCAAGCCAAUUCCAGCAACCCUAUUUCAAUUUGGGAUGGCAUUUUGCAAUUGGAUCCAUGAAAUUGGAAAUCCUAGAAUCGCAGAUCAGCAUUGUUGCGGUGAAUACGUUCCCGGGCCUUGUACACACCGCCCGUCACACCAUGGGAGUUUGUUGCACCAGAAGCAGGUAGCUUAACGCUC